AGGGCACCACCAGGAGUGGAGCCUGCGGCUUAAUUUGACUCAACGCGGGGAAACUCACCCGGCCCGGACACCGUAAGGAUUGACAGAUUGAGAGCUCUUUCUUGAUUCGGUGGGUGGUGGUGCAUGGCCGUUCUUAGUUGGUGGAGCGAUUUGUCUGGUUAAUUCCGAUAACGAACGAGACUCUAGCCUACUAAAUAGAAGGCAAAUCAUUCGUUUGCUGUACUUCUUAGAGGGACUAGGGGCGUCUAGCCUCACGAGAUUGAGCAAUAACAGGUCUGUGAUGCCCUUAGAUGUCCGGGGCCGCACGCGCGCUACACUGAAGGAUUCAGCAAGUGUUAACCCUGGUCUGAGAAGAUCGGGUAACCUAAUGAAACUCCUUCGUGAUUGGGAUAGGGACUUGUAAUUAUCCCCCAUGAACGAGGAAUUCCCAGUAGGCGCGAGUCAUAAGCUCGCGUCGAUUACGUCCCUGCCCUUUGUACACACCGCCCGUCGCUACUACCGAUCGAGUGAUUUAGUGAG
rnacentral:rRNA from 1 species